rnacentral:snoRNA from 1 species
UUUUGAUAGAUGACUUAAAUUGUCGGGUACCCCUUCACUCCUGUUUCCAGGA